AAUAUAGUUCUCUAUUUGGAUCAAUCUUAAUACCAAAUUGUUAUGUGACUUAAUACCAAAGAGCAAAAUUGAUACAAUGCUUGGGUAUAUAAUUAUGCUGUAAUUAAAUAAUCUCUUCAUUCUAAAUGUAGAACUUCAUGGACGUUGUAUUGUUUAUGUUAUGUAUUUGUUAAGGUGAACUGAGUUUAUUGGAGAUGAAGUGGUUGCAUUUUGUGGGUUUUUGGGGUGACCUCAGGUAACCCCCGUAAUUAAAGAAUAGUAAAUACUAUGCUAUGGUAUAUAAUUAUGCUGCAAUAAACUAAUUUCUUCAUUCUGAAUGUAGGACUUCAUGGACAUGAUGGACAUUGCAUAGUUUAUGUCAUAUAUUUGUUAAGAUAACUUGAGUUAAAUGAUAAUAUUUAUUGGUUUUUUUUUUUUGGGGGGGGGGGGGGGGUGACCUCAGGUACCCCCUGUAAUGAAUGAAUAACAGAUACAAUGCUAGGGUAUAUAAUUAUUCUGUAAUAAAUUAAUUUCUUCAUUUUAAAAUGUAGGAUUCAUGGACGUUG